rnacentral:rRNA from 1 species
CCUACGGGUGGCAGCAGUGGGGAAUAUUGCACAAUGGGCGAAAGCCUGAUGCAGCGACGCCGCGUGAGGGAUGACGGCCUUCGGGUUGUAAACCUCUUUCAGCAGGGACGAAGCGAAAGUGACGGUACCUGCAGAAGAAGCGCCGGCUAACUACGUGCCAGCAGCCGCGGUAAUACGUAGGGCGCAAGCGUUGUCCGGAAUUAUUGGGCGUAAAGAGCUCGUAGGCGGUCUGUUGCGUCUGCUGUGAAAACCCGGGGCUCAACCCCGGGCCUGCAGUGGAUACGGGCAGACUAGAGGUAGGUAGGGGAGAAUGGAAUUCCCGGUGUAGCGGUGAAAUGCGCAGAUAUCGGGAGGAACACCGGUGGCGAAGGCGGUUCUCUGGGCCUUACCUGACGCUGAGGAGCGAAAGCGUGGGGAGCGAACAGGAUUAGAUACCCU